UCCUUUAUCAUCAAUUCUUUCAUUUUAGGGGGAAAACAUGCAAAGUUAUGCAACAUGUGUUCCUCUUCAACUUUACAAUGCUCCAGUAAUAAUAUAGUUAGAGCCCUUGCCUGAAAUGAUUGGUAUGUAGGUGUGUAAUAGAAGCAUUUAAACCUUUGCACUUGGUGCUGAAACACUUGGCAGCUGUAAUUCUCUGAUCCUGACAUGUACCUGUUGGCAUUAAUGUCCUAAGAUCAAGCGCUGACAGGCCCAAAUAAUUAUCUCACAGAUAAAAAUAUUCUGUGCAUACAUGUGCGAGUGCUGUAAUACAUCCAGUCAGAGGAAGCCGGGUCAAUAAACUCAACAACUGGAGAUGCAGACUUCAUCGUCUGACGGACACGUGCACGCAUGUGGCCUUUUUGGGUCUUUAAAGUGAGAUCCAAUCUAGAGGCAGUUUUGUCUUUUUGUCUUUUUCAGCUUUUAACUUAUUUUUUAAUCAAUAUAAAUUUUAUUUUUGUGGCAUUUUUGCUUUUAUUUGGAAAAGACAGGACAGUGGAUAGAGUAGGAAAUAGGGAGAUCUAUCUAUCUAUCUAUCUAUCUAUCUAUCUAUCUAUCUAUCUAUCUAUCUAUCUAUCUAUCUAUCUAUCUAUCUAUCUAUCUUGACACAAGUUUUUAAGACUGUACAGAUAUCUAUUUUUGGGGGAGAAGAAACGGUCUGCUGGUAGACUGUCAUAAAGGUCUGGAGACAAUUGCUAUGUAAUGAAUAACUCAAUAAAUUUAAACAUGACUUUAAUCAUUUAAUGAUUUUAUUAUAAAGACAGAGAUAGCCUAUCUAUCUAUCUAUCUAUCUAUCUAUCUACCUACCUACCUACCUACCUACCUACCUACCCACCUACCUACCUACCUACCUACCUACCUACCCACCUACCUACCUACAUAUCUAUCUAUCUAUCUAUCUAUCUAUCUAUCUAUCUAUCUAUCUAUCUAUCUAUCUAUCUAUCUUUGACUAUCUUUGGCUCACUUGAAUCGUAAAACCAAUCAUGCUUUAGCAAUAUUGUUCUGACUUUCAUGCCAGUAAAUCUUAUUUGAAUUGAAUUGAAUAUGGACACUCAAAUCUAAUUUCAUGUUUCCUGACAAUAGUACUAUGAGUGCUGAUGUUUGAUUUAAUGUAGCUCUAAAUCUAAACUGAAUUCAGACAGGGUCCACAUUUGUGAAGUAGAUAAAAUCAGAUAGAUGUUUCACAGAUUUGGCCCGUAUAAGCUUCACAUUCAGCUUGGAUGUCAUGGAUUAUAAAUGUGCCUCUUUAACUCAUGUUUGUUUUCUUCUGUGUCUAUAUAUACAUAAUCCAACUUUGUUUUUUAAAUUAAUUUUUCUAUACAUAGAGCCCAGGUUAUGAUGUUUCAAUCAAAUGCUCCGUUGUCUGACAUGUGACCCUUGGACCCGUCAGCUGAGGGAUGUUGAGUGUCACUGCAGCCACCAGAGGGACUUUGGCCUGUUGUCUAGUUGUUUUCGUGGCACUGAAACAGAGCUUUGAUACACAUGACACCCUCAAAGACCGCUAUAGAUAGACUGUCAUGUUACAUCAGUAGGAGAGCUGUUUUUCAGCUUCGUUGACAUUUAGAUGUUUGCUGGGAUUUUUUUUUUUUGUGAUUGCUGCAACGGUUGGUAAUUUGUAAGUGACCAGAGAAGGCACGGUGACACAGGUCAGGGCAGGACAUUGUAGGAGGAUUUUUAGUGUCACAUGAAGAUAAAAAUAACAAAAAAUAAUUGGAUCCAGCUUGUUUUUUUGUUUGCUGGAGAGUGCAGCCACCUUUUUGGACUGAAAAGGACAAAAAGUCUCCUAAAAAACGACACUUGUUAUGCAAUCCACUCAGGUUUAAAAUCUAGUUCACUUUGACCCUGUUUCAUAUUUUAUGAAAUGUUGGAAUUUUAAGUGCCAAAACAAGAUUUAUACUGCAUCUUUAUGACUGUGUGACUCUCUUGUGGUCAUCACAAAAACAACAAUAAAGUGACAUAAUAAGUGAGGCUGAGUCUCAGUUAAAGGUGAGGAAAAGUUCACUCUGGGAGAAACAAGGUGAGGAAAAUAGUUAAAGGAUUGCAGGAUAUUCUCCUGAGUGUCAUAGCUAUCAUUUACAGUCGGUAUUAGUCGGUUUUAGUCCAAGAUCUAAAACCAGCACUGGUGAGAUGGUCAUGAUCUUCAGGCUUCGUAGUGGAAAUCACUAUAUGGGUUCAAAUAAUGCUUCAAAAAUCAGCCUGUGAACAAAGUUUAUUGCUGUGUCCAUAAAUGCCGGAUAAAACUUUAGCAUGCAAAGAAAAAAACAGACUUGAUCCAGAAACGCUGGUGACUUGUAUCUAUCUCUUUAAGAUAAGCUGAGGCUAUUUGAAAAACUGAACAGUGGUCCAGCAAAUUAAGAUCUGACAUUUAUUUUUUAGGAAUUCUUGGAUGCUACAUCCCCUGCUCCAAAAGAAAAGACAAGUCACCACUCGACUUUUUAUCCACGGUUUACACCCGACUUUAUCUCAUUGGUAGAAAAGUCAAAAAGAAACUGUGGUACAAAAGUAUGACAAAAAAGACCCUAAACCUAGGUAAAAAUGGGAAAACAUUUCUACUUUUAGUUCCCUUGAUUUCCAGAUUUCCAUGUUUCCAGAGUGUGGUUAAAAGAAUUUCUUUUAUAAGUUGUAGUUUUGGCUGCUUUUAUCCAUUUUGUCAUUUUCACACUGUUACAAAACUGUUGCAGCAGCUUUUAAGUCUGUUUUGACUUAUUUUUAUCUACAUUUUAAAAGCAAGUAUCUAUGCUAAAAGAUGUAGAAGUGCUGAACGAUAAAUUCAGAAUUUGGACCAACAUAUGCUGCAGUCCAAGCAUGCAUUUCUCUUGGAUGUCCUAUAUAUACAACAAGAAGGUGACUAACUAAAUUUUUGGAUGUCAUUUAACAGUAUAACUCCUUGGUAGAUA
rnacentral:lncRNA from 1 species